GGGCAGCUAUUCAGUUCACCGCCACAGGGGGCCUGAGAGUAAGAGUGUGAGGCCCCUGCUGGUUGCUUUGAUCUCUAGAGGUCCUGAGCAGCCUAAAAGCCCAGACAGAGGCCCCUCUCCCUGUGGAUGUGGGAAUCCUUGUAAUAUUGGUGCAAGUGCUGGCUGCAGAGACUUCUUCAGAUUCCCCCACCUCAGGCUGAGGCAGAGGAGCAGGAACCAGCCUUAGGGUGCCUGCGCAGGCCAGGGCUCCCUCCUGUUCUGAUUCACAGAUGGAGUCAGUGGAAAAGACAACAAACAGAAGUGAACAGAAAUGCAGAAAGUUUUUAAAGAGCCUCAUUAGGAAGCAGCCCCAGGACCUGCUCUUGGUCAUCGGGACCGGCGUGAGUGCAGCCGUGGCCCCGGGUAUCCGCGCACUCUGCUCCUGGAGGGGCUGCAUCGAGGCUGUCAUCGAGGCUGCAGAGCAGUUGGAGGUCCUGCACCCUGGGGACGUUGCCGAGUUCCGGAGGAAGGUGAUGAAGGACCGGGACCUGCUGGUUGUGGCCCAUGAUCUGAUUCGGAAGAUGUCACCUCGCACAGGCGACACCAAGCCCAACUUCUUCCAGGAUUGCCUGAUGGAGGUGUUUGACAGCUUGGAGCAGCACAUCCAGAACCCUGUGGUGCUGGAGUCCAUCCUCAGCCUGAUGGACAGGGGCACCAUGGUGCUGACCACCAACUAUGACAACCUGCUGGAAAUCUUUGGGCAGCAGCAGAGCAAGCCCAUGGAGUCCCUGGACUUGAAGGACAAGACAAAGGUCCUUCAGUGGGCAAGAGGUCAUAUCAAGUAUGGAGUCCUUCAUAUUCAUGGCCUGUACACUGACCCCUGUGGGAUGGUGCUGGACCCAUCGGGCUAUAAAGAUGUCACUCAGGAUCCAGAAGUCAUGGAAGUCCUGCAAAAUCUCUACCGCACCAAGUCUUUCCUGUUCAUGGGCUGUGGAGAGACGCUGCGCGACCAGAUAUUCCAAGCGCUCUUCUUGUACUCUGUGCCAAAUAAGGUGGACUUGGAGCACUACAUGGUAGUGCUCAAGGAAAACGAAGACCAUUUCUUUAAGCAUCAAGCAGACAUGCUUUUGCAUGGAAUUAAGGUGGUGUCCUAUGGGGACUGUUUUGACCUUUUCCCAGGAUAUGUGCAAGACCUUGCCACUCAGAUCUGCAAACAGCGGAGUCCAGAUGCUGAGCGAGUGGACAGCACCACCUUAUUGGGUAAUGCAUGUCAGGACUGUGCGAAGAGGAAGUUGGAAGAGAAUGGAAUUGAAGCUACAAAAAAAGUCAGACAGUCAGAUCCUGGUAGGUAUUGUUUGUGUUCAUGGGAACUCUCUGGGUCUGUAGGUAUCUGUACUUAGUGCUUUGCUUUAACAGCCUGGUCUAUGACAAAGAUCAGUGCAUACAUCAUGUCAGAAUCACACAGACCUUUUCAGUGGAACCUGACCUUCUACACUGCUAAUCAGAGAGAGGUACUAUUCUUUUCCCCACAAUUUCUCUUAAAAUGUAAUCAAAAGAAAACAAGCAAGUAAUGUAGCAUCAGUUCAGUGAGUUUUCAUGAGGAAGACACCCAUUUGGUCAUAUCAAGUUGGCAAACAGAACAUUUUGGGAGCACCUCCCCCCUGCCCCCAUCAGAGUGCCCAUCAAUCUCUAAAGAAACCUCUUGAGAUUGUUUCUUUUUGUUCUCUCUCCUACUAGGAUGUAUAUACACUUGUAAACUUUCAACUGCUCAUUCAGUAGACUCUUCCCAUUGAAACUAGGAGAGGUGAACUGGAUGGCUGCUUGUGUCCCUCCUCUUCUCCCCCUCCCCUCUGGUGUGGUAGGAUCCAUUUCUAGUGCCUUAGUACUCAGAAGUAGGAUUUGAAUCUGUUGAUUGGGCUCUGAAGGGGCUUUUCCCUUCUUCUCCAUCCCAUUCCCCAGCACCAGCUUUUAACAUUCCCAAUGUCAAGCACCUAGAUACAGGAUAAAGAGGAAGCAAGACCUCUCUUCUCUUUAUGGAUUCUAAAAGAUGGAGUCCCUAGCUGGCCUGGAACUAAACGUGUAUAGACCAAACUGACCUCAAACUCAAGAGAUCUGCCUGCCUCAGCCUCCUGAGUACCAGGACUAAAGAUGAUGCUGGAGGGUCUUGAAGUUUUUAAAACUUGACACUUGAAAACCAGCCUUCUGUAACCACAGUGCCAUGCCCAAGUGAUGAGGAAUGUACGGAGGACUCCAUCUGGAUCUCUCAAUAGUGAACUGUCACACACCCCCAAAAGAGCCAUGUGGGUGUGUGGCCUUUGUGGUUGAACGGCAGAGCUCUACUAUGUGUUUAGCUGCUCAGGAGGUGACAUGGACACACUUCAGGUGUACUCAUAAGGACUAAUGGACAGCUACCUCAGGGACCAAAUUGAGGGGUGGGAGGUGGGAUGUACCUGGCAUUGUUCCCUUUUCCCAUUUGACAUGUUUUCUUAUGUCAGGGUGUUAUUUUUCCUAAUAAAUAGAGGAGAAUGAGGAUUAUUCAAGCAACAGUAGUUGCCAAAGAGAAAAUAAGACAUAAACAUUUAUAUUUUAUAUCUUUAUGUGGAAAUAUGUGGAAACAUCUUUUACUGUAGAAAGUUUUUUAAAGAUGUGUUGGUUACAGUGUUAAAUAGUAAAAACCAAGUGGAGAGUAGAGGGGCUGAACUCACUAGUGAAAAGUGUUGUUUUUAAAGGGAUGACUAGAUCAAUGUGGUUUCUUUGGAAUUGUGACAUUUCAGUAGUUUCUGUUCCAAAGAAAUGGUAAACUCUCCCUUAGUGAGUGUUAAGUCCAGAGAGACUGAAGACCUUCCCCAAAGUCUUCAUUGCUGUCUUGAUCCACUGUGUGACUUCCAAGUUAGAAAGGGAAAGUGAAGCACAAGACCAAGCUUUAAACUUUUAGAAGUUCUAAGCUUUCAGAGUCUUAUUUCUCUAGGAUAAGGCCCAUCCUUUCUGUUCUCCUCUCUUCCCAUGGUUCAUAUAAAGAUUUACAUGGAGUGGGGUAAGCAAUACUUUGAAAUUUUAACUACAUUCAAAGUCAACUUCUGAGGAAACACCCAUGCUCAGAGUAUGGCACAUACCCACAGCUUCCCUGAUAGUGACUGUGGCAAAGGCUCACAUGUUGUACAGAGUGGUCCUGAAAGGAAGACUUCUUAGAAACAGGUCCUGCAUGGUCCAUUUGAGGCUACCCAUCUUUGAUAUGAUGCCAAGCUCUGCCUGUGACAUUGCAUGGAUGGCACUGUAGCUCCCAAGGGACGUGGACAAUUAAGAACAGGAAACAGGUUGGUACAGGGAAUGAGGGAGAAGGCAGAGACAGGCUAAAGGCACCUCCCCACCCCUGUGCUUUCUAAGUGUGGAAAAUAAAUCUUUUAUGUCACUGGUUAUGAAUAAAAUUUUAAAGUCAA